rnacentral:rRNA from 1 species
AUGGCGGGCGGUGGCAUGGCCGCGCUGGGCGUGAAGAAGGAGAGGGCGGCGGAGUACAAGGGCCGCAUGACGCUGGCCGUCGCCAUGGCCUGCCUCGUCGCCGCCGUCGGGGGCUCCAUCUUCGGCUACGACAUCGGGAUCUCCGGAGGAGUGACCUCCAUGGACCCAUUCCUGGAGAAGUUCUUCCCGGUGGUGUUCCGGCGGAAGAACUCCGGCCACCAGAACAACUACUGCAAGUACGACAACCAGGGCCUCUCGGCAUUCACCUCCUCCCUGUACCUGGCCGGCCUGGUCUCCUCCCUCGUCGCCUCGCCGGUGACGAGGAACUACGGCCGACGCGCCAGCAUUGUCUGCGGCGGCAUCAGCUUCCUCAUCGGCGCGAUCCUCAACGUGGCGGCCGUGAACCUUGGGAUGCUGAUCCUCGGUCGUAUCAUGCUCGGCGUUGGCAUCGGUUUCGGCAAUCAGGGUGUGCCGCUGUACCUGUCGGAGAUGGCGCCGGCGCACCUCCGCGGCGGGCUGAACAUGAUGUUCCAGCUCGCGACGACGCUCGGCAUCUUCACGGCCAACAUGGUCAACUACGGCACGCAGAACCUCAAGCCGUGGGGGUGGCGCCUCUCGCUCGGCCUCGCGGCGGCGCCGGCGCUGCUGAUGACCGUGGGCGGGCUGCUCCUGCCGGAGACGCCCAACAGCCUUAUCGAGCGCGGGCGCGCCGAGGAGGGCCGGCGCGUCCUGGAGCGCAUCCGCGGCACCGCGGACGUCGACGCCGAGUUCAUGGACAUGUCGGAGGCUAGCGAGCUAGCCAACACCAUCAAGAACCCGUUCCGGAACAUCCUCGAGCCGCGCAAUCGGCCGCAGCUGGUGAUGGCCGUGUGCAUGCCGGCGUUCCAGAUCCUGACGGGCAUCAACUCCAUCCUGUUCUACGCGCCGGUGCUGUUCCAGACCAUGGGCUUCGGCGCCAGCGCGUCGCUCUACUCCUCCGUGAUCACCGGCGCUGUGCUCUUCUUGUCUACCCUCAUCUCCAUCGCCACCGUCGACCGCCUCGGCCGGAGGAAGCUCCUCAUCAGCGGCGGCAUUCAGAUGAUCGUUUGCCAGGUGAUCGUGGCGGUGAUACUCGGGGUGAAGUUCGGGACGGACAAGCAGCUGUCGCGGAGCUACUCGAUCGUGGUGGUGGUGGUGAUCUGCCUCUUCGUGAUGGCGUUCGGGUGGUCGUGGGGGCCGCUGGGGUGGACGGUGCCGAGCGAGAUCUUCCCGCUGGAGACGCGGUCGGCGGGGCAGAGCAUCACGGUGGCCGUCAACCUCUUCUUCACCUUCGUCAUCGCGCAGGCGUUCCUGUCCAUGCUCUGCGCCUUCAAGUUCGGCAUCUUCCUCUUCUUCGCCGCCUGGAUCACGGUCAUGACCGUGUUCGUCUACAUUUUCCUGCCGGAGACCAAGGGCGUGCCCAUCGAGGAGAUGGUGCUGCUGUGGAGGAAGCACUGGUUCUGGAAGAAGGUGAUGCCGGACAUGCCGCUCGAGGACGGCUGGGGAGAAGGGGACGCUGGGCGUGCUGACAAUAAGGGUCAGUGA